AUUGGAUGUGGUGAAGAAGAAAGUUAGGAAUCGGGGAGAAUUCAGGGGAGUGUAUUGGAGCGAAAAAUUAGGGUUACGGUUAGAGUUAGAAGGAUGGGUUGAUGCGGGAAUGGGGUAAUAGGAGGUGGAGGUGAAGAAGAAGAUGGUAUUGCAGGGUCGGCCGGUGGCGGAGACGGCGAGGAGAGAGAGGCCGAGGAGGAGAAGAGGGAGCUUCCAGGUCGACAUUGACUCGUGAGAAGAGAAAAGCUGUCGAUGAAGAAAAAUGAAAGAGGAAAUGCGAAAAUAUGUGAUUCGGUGGG
rnacentral:lncRNA from 1 species